UACGGAGGGUGCAAGCGUUGCUCGGAAUUACUGGGCGUAAAGCGACCGCAGGCGGCUCGCCAAGUCGUGUGUGAAAUCCCUGGGCUCAACUCAGGAACUGCAUUCGAUACUGGCGAGCUAGAGUUCGGGAGAGGGAGGUGGAAUUCCUGGUGUAGAGGUGAAAUUCGUUGAUAUCAGGAGGAACACCGGCGGCGAAGGCGGCCUCCUGGCCCGAUACUGACGCUCAUGGUCGAAAGCGUGGGGAGCAAACAGG
rnacentral:rRNA from 1 species